rnacentral:rRNA from 1 species
CGAAGAAGAACAUUGCAUAAUGUGAUAAGCGACUAGAUUAGCUCAAUUUGUGAUAAGUUCGAUCUUUGAAUGCAUAUUGCGUAUUUAUUAAUU